rnacentral:rRNA from 1 species
GAUGAACGCUGGCGGCGUGCCUAAUACAUGCAAGUCGAGCGAACAGACGAGGAGCUUUCUCCUCUGACGUUAGCGGCGGACGGGUGAGUAACACGUGGAUAACCUACCUAUAAGACUUGGAUAACUUCGGGAAACCGGAGCUAAUACCGGAUAAUAUAUUGAACCGCAUGGUUCAAUAGUGAAAGACGGUUUUGCUGUCACUUAUAGAUGGAUCCGCGCCGCAUUAGCUAGUUGGUAAGGUAACGGCUUACCAAGGCAACGAUGCGUAGCCGACCUGAGAGGGUGAUCGGCCACACUGGAACUGAGACACGGUCCAGACUCCUACGGGAGGCAGCAGUAGGGAAUCUUGCGCAAUGGGCGAAAGCCUGACGGAGCAACGCCGCGUGAGUGAUGAAGGUCUUCGGAUCGUAAAACUCUGUUAUUAGGGAAGAACAAAUGUGUAAGUAACUAUGCACGUCUUGACGGUACCUAAUCAGAAAGCCACGGCUAACUACGUG